rnacentral:rRNA from 1 species
UACGGAGGGUGCGAGCGUUGUCCGGAAUCAUUGGGCGUAAAGGGCGCGUAGGUGGCCACUUCAAGCGUGCGGUGAAAGUCGGGGGCUCAACCCCUGAUCGGCCGUGCGAACUGGGGGGCUGGAGCACUGUAGAGGCAGGCGGAAUUCCGGGUGUAGCGGUGGAAUGCGGUAGAGAGUCCGGAAGAACACCGGUGGCGAAGGCGGCCUGCUGGGCAGUUUUGCUGACACUGAGGCGCGGACAGCGUGGGGAGCAAACAGG